AAACCGAAACGGAGUCAUCAGAUUGCUCGCAGUGGCCAAAUCUUGCCCUAAAGUCAAAGCUCUGAAGCACUGCACUAAGAGCUCUUGGAACACCCGUGGAUUCCCAAGGAAAGGAAUGGAUAAAGUUAAGCCAUGAUGACCUUGUUGAAUCCAGCCAUUCUGCAACUGCCUGUUUUGACUUUAGGGAUGGAAGUACUUCCAGGCAUGCCAAGAGGGAAGGAAACAUGGCAGGUGCACUGGCUUUGAAGUUGCCGUGAUGGUUGCAAUCCUGCAUCUGUCUGUUCCUGAUGG
rnacentral:lncRNA from 1 species